rnacentral:rRNA from 1 species
AUACGUAGGGGGCGAGCGUUGUCCGGAAUUACUGGGCGUAAAGGGUGCGUAGGCGGCCUCAGAAGUCAGGUGUGAAAUACCGUGGCUUAACCACGGGGGUGCAUUUGAAACUUUGAGGCUUGAGUGUAGGAGAGGAAAGUGGAAUUCCUAGUGUAGCGGUGAAAUGCGUAGAGAUUAGGAGGAACACCAGUGGCGAAGGCGACUUUCUGGACUGUAACUGACGCUGAUGCACGAAAGCGUGGGUAGCGAACAGGAUUAGAUACCCUGGUAGUCCACGCCGUAAACGAUGGAUACUAGGUGUAGGAGGUAUCGACCCCUUCUGUGCCGUAGUUAACGCAAUAAGUAUCCCGCCUGGGGAGUACGUGCGCAAGCAUGAA